AUUGAACGCUGGCGGCAUGCUUUACACAUGCAAGUCGAGCGGCAGCGCGGGGCAACCUGGCGGCGAGCGGCGAACGGGUGAGUAAUAGAUAGGAACGUGUCCGGGAGUGGGGGAUAACUAGCCGAAAGGUUAGCUAAUACCGCAUAUUCUGUGCGCAGGAAAGCGGGGGCUCGCAAGACCUCGCGCUCGCGGAGUGGCCUAUCUCCGAUUAGCUAGUUGGUGAGGUAAAGGCUUACCAAGGCGACGAUCGGUAGCUGGUCUGAGAGGAUGAUCAGCCACACUGGGACUGAGACACGGCCCAGACUCCUACGGGAGGCAGCAGUGGGGAAUUUUGGACAAUGGGGGCAACCCUGAUCCAGCCAUGCCGCGUGCGGGAAGAAGGCCUUCGGGUUGUAAACCGCUUUUAUUCGGGAAGAAGGAGUGGAGGUUAAUACCCUUCAUGACGGACGGUACUGGAUGAAUAAGCACCGGCUAACUACGUGC
rnacentral:rRNA from 1 species